UACGUAGGGACCAAGCGUUGUCCGGAAUCAUUGGGCGUAAAGAGCGUGUAGGCGGCUUGUUAAGUCUUGCGUGAAAUCUCGGGGCUCAACCCCGAGCGGUCGUGAGAAACUGGCAGGCUAGAGUGCGGGAGAGGAGAGUGGAAUUCCUGGUGUAGCGGUGAAAUGCGCAGAUAUCAGGAAGAACACCCGUGGCGAAGGCGGCUCUCUGGAACGCAACUGACGCUGAGGCGCGAAAGCGUGGGGAGCAAACAGG
rnacentral:rRNA from 1 species